AGAGGAUGAGCUCGCGAGGGGGCGGACGGGUUCCAAUCCGUCUGGGAAGGGCGGAGGCACGGAGGGCGAUUCCCCGUACGUGCUCGGUCCGUCCCCGACGAGCGAAACGCGAUCGGGAGAGUCGGGCCGCUUGAGAGUGCAGCCCGAAAUGGGGUGAUAGGUCUCAAUCCAAGGCUAAGUACGUGGGAGACGCCGAUAGCGAACAAGUACGGCGACGGAAAGGUGAAAAGAACCUCGAAAGGGGGGUCAAAAGCGCUCGAAAUCGUAGAGGGGGAAGCGGACCUGACCGACGAGACCUCGUCGUCGCUCGCGCUCGACCCACGCUUCGUCGCGGAGUUCCGGAGGGCUCGCCCCCCGGAGCCGCGGCGCGGCGGGGUCGGGAGGCGCUCGGCGGGCGGGGCCGCUUGCGCGGGACCGGCGUCGCGCCGAACGAGAGGUCGCCUCGGCUCGCCCGAAAAGGACGCGCCGGGGGGC
rnacentral:rRNA from 1 species